CCUACGGGAGGCUGCAGUGAGGAAUAUUGGUCAAUGGCCGUGAGGCUGAACCAGCCAAGUAGCGUGAAGGAAGAAUGACCUAUGGGUUGUAAACUUCUUUUAUAGGGGAAUAAAGGUAUCCACGUGUGGAUUUUUGCAUGUACCUUAUGAAUAAGCAUCGGCUAACUCCGUGCCAACAGCCGCGGUAAUACGGAGGAUGCGAGCGUUAUCCGGAUUUAUUGGGUUUAAAGGGUGCGUAGAUUGUUUUUUAAGUCAGCUGUGAAAGUUUGUGGCUCAACCAUAAAAUUGCCGUUGAAACUGGAAGACUUGAGUGUGUUUGAGGUAGGCGGAAUGCGUGGUGUAGCGGUGAAAUGCAUAGAUAUCACGCAGAACUCCGAUUGCGAAGGCAGCUUACUAAGCCAUAACUGACACUGAAGCACGAAAGCGUGGGGAUCAAACAGGAUUAGAUACCCGUGUAGUC
rnacentral:rRNA from 1 species